GAUGAACGCUGGCGGCGUGCUUAACACAUGCAAGUCGAACGGGAAACCUUUUAUUGAAGCUUUGGCAGAUUUAGCUGGUUUCUAGUGGCGGACGGGUGAGUAACGCGUGGGUAACCUGCCCUAUACAGGGGGAUAACAACCAGAAAUGGUUGCUAAUACCGCAUAAGCGCACGGGACCGCAUGGUUCGGUGUGAAAAACUCCGGUGGUAUAGGAUGGACCCGCGUUGGAUUAGCUAGUUGGUGGGGUAACGGCCCACCAAGGCGACGAUCCAUAGCCGGCCUGAGAGGGUGAACGGCCACAUUGGGACUGAGACACGGCCCAGACUCCUACGGGAGGCAGCAGUGGGGAAUAUUGCACAAUGGGGGAAACCCUGAUGCAGCGACGCCGCGUGAAGGAAGAAGUAUCUCGGUAUGUAAACUUCUAUCAGCAGGGAAGAUAGUGACGGUACCUGACUAAGAAGCCCCGGCUAACUAC
rnacentral:rRNA from 1 species